rnacentral:sRNA from 2 species
CAUUUGACUUGUCAAAAUAGGGUGAUUUAAAAGCCACCACAAGAGCUCUUGUGGCAAUAUCAGUAUUGGAUGCCAUAUGAAUCAGCAGAUGAAAUAUUAGAGAUGAGAUAUUUGAGAAAAAAGAGGAAUCAAUUCAGAAUAUGUGGCAUUCUCAUAUAAAUAGAAUGUGGGGUCAUUUGAAGCUAAAUGUAAUUACUCAUUAAAAUGUUGUGGUGCUUCUUAGUUGUAUAAAUUGAAUCUGAGCGGCGCAAUUCUUUUGAUAGCGCCCUCCGUAUACACACCCUUAAUUAGACUCAUCGGCGUUCUGGAGUAAUCCGGGGGACCAUCUAGCAACUAUCGUGUGCAUGUCUCUCUAUUUGUGGAGUCUCUUUCAUGAUGUUAGGUAAUUAAUUACUGUGUGAGGUAGCAAGGUCCAACAGAAUAGAGAUCUAAAAACAAGCAUA